rnacentral:lncRNA from 1 species
UUCCUUUUAGCGAGGCAAUGGGCGAUUAAAACCAUUUUACAUCGAUUGUGAAUUGAAACUUACUUUCAAUUCUCCCUUUAGUGAUUACACACGUUUAGGGCUUCCACAAACCAUGAAUGACACCUAGCAGCAUAUCAUGGUUACCCAAGCUAAUCAGAAGAGGUGGAGAACCUAUUCAGUUUAGGAUUACAAAUGCAAUACAGUCUUUCUCUAAUCUAAUACUCUUGACCACAUUGUUUGGUUUGAUAGUUUAUUUAUUCAUGUCUACUAUCUAAUGUGAUUCGUGUGCUUAUAUGAUUACCUUGAAUGUGAUUUGGAAAGCUUUCCUAAAUCUCAUUCAUACUCUGAUCAGAGGUUCUAAAUCAUAUCAUAGUGUAUUCUCCCUCAAACGGUUUCAAGGUUUGAGAUCCCUUGUUGCGCAUUCACUUGCCUCCAUGACUAUGUGGCUUAACCCCAACGAUGCCGUGGACACCC